rnacentral:rRNA from 1 species
AGAGUUUGAUCAUGGCUCAGAUUGAACGCUGGCGGCAUGCCUUACACAUGCAAGUCGAACGGCAGCACGGGUGCUUGCACCUGGUGGCGAGUGGCGAACGGGUGAGUAAUGCAUCGGAACAUGUCCUGUAGUGGGGGAUAGCCCGGCGAAAGCCGGAUUAAUACCGCAUACGAUCUACGGAUGAAAGCGGGGGACCUUCGGGCCUCGCGCUAUAGGGUUGGCCGAUGGCUGAUUAGCUAGUUGGUGGGGUAAAGGCCUACCAAGGCGACGAUCAGUAGCUGGUCUGAGAGGACGACCAGCCACACUGGGACUGAGACACGGCCCAGACUCCUACGGGAGGCAGCAGUGGGGAAUUUUGGACAAUGGGCGAAAGCCUGAUCCAGCAAUGCCGCGUGUGUGAAGAAGGCCUUCGGGUUGUAAAGCACUUUUGUCCGGAAAGAAAUCCUUGGCUCUAAUACAGUUGGGGGAUGACGGUACCAGAAGAAUAAGCACCGGCUAACUACGUGCCAGCAGCCGCGGUAAU